CUCCUCGUAGUUCAAUGGAUAGAACGAGCGCCUCCUAAGCGCUAGAUACAGGUUCGAUUCCUGUCGAGGGGACCA
rnacentral:tRNA from 5 species